UACGUAGGGUACAAGCAUUAAUCGGAAUUAUUGGGCGUAAAGGGCGCGUAGGCGGGGAUGUAAGUCAGGUGUGAAAUACCAAAGCUCAACUUUGGUGCUGCAUUUGAAACUGCAUUUCUUGAGGACUGGCGGAGAAAGCGGAAUUCCAUGAGUAGCGGUGAAAUGCGUAGAUACAUGGAGGAACACCGGUGGCGAAAGCGGCUUUCUAGUUUUUACCUGACGCUGAGGCGCGAGAGCAAGGGGAGCAAACAGG
rnacentral:rRNA from 1 species